rnacentral:rRNA from 1 species
ACACAUGCAAGUCGAGGGGCAGCAUGAAGUUUGCUUGCAAACUUUGAUGGCGACCGGCGCACGGGUGAGUAACGCGUAUCCAACCUUCCCUAUAGUAGAGAAUAGCCCGGCGAAAGUCGGAUUAAUGCUCUAUGUUAUUCAAAGCGGACAUCUAAUUUGAAUCAAAGGUUCACCGCUAUAGGAUGGGGAUGCGUCUGAUUAGCUUGAUGGCGGGGUAACGGCCCACCAUGGCGACGAUCAGUAGGGGUUCUGAGAGGAAGGUCCCCCACAUUGGAACUGAGACACGGUCCAAACUCCUACGGGAGGCAGCAGUGAAGAAUAUUGGUCAAUGGGCGGAAGCCUGAACCAGCCAAGUAGCGUGCGGGAUGAAGGCCCUACGGGUUGUAAACCGCUUUUGCGCGAAGAAAAAGGGAGGCACAUGUGUCUGGUUGAAAAAAACGCGCGAAUAAGGACCGGCUAGUUCCGUAACAGCAGCCGCGGUAAUACGGAAGGUCCGGGCGUUAUCCGGAUUUAUUGGGUUUAAAGGGAGCGCAGGCGGGAUGUCAAGUCAGCCGUUAAACGGCCCGGCUCAACCGGGUCUUGCGGUUGAAACUGGCGUCCUUGGGUUCACAAAAGGCAGGCGGAACUCGUGGUGUAGCGGUGAAAUGCAUAGAUCUCAGGAAGACCCCCGAUUGCGAAGGCAGCCUGCCGGGGUGCUACGUACGCUCAUGCUAGAAGGCGCGGGUACCCAACAGGAUUAGAUACCCUGGUAGUCCGCGCAGUAAACGAUGGAUGCCCGCGGUGCGGCCUAUAUGGUUACGCCGCCAAGCGAAAGCGUUAAGCAUCCCCGGUGGGGAGUACGCCGGCAACGGUGAAACUCAAAGGAAUUGACGGGGGCCCGCACAAGCGGAGGAACAUGUGGUUUAAUUCGAUGAUACGCGAGGAACCUUACCCGGGCUUGAAAUGCGACUGACGGCGGGCAGAGACGCCCGCCUCCUUCGGGCAGUCGUGUAGGUGCUGCAUGGUUGUCGUCAGCUCGUGCCGUGAGGUGUCGGCUCAAGUGCCAUAACGAGCGCAACUCCCUGUCAGCAGUUGCGAGCGGGUGAAGCCGCGCACUCUG